CCUACGGGGGGCAGCAGUGAGGAAUAUUGGUCAAUGGGCGAGAGCCUGAACCAGCCAAGUCGCGUGAGGGAGUACUGCCCUAUGGGUUGUAAACCUCUUUUGUCGGGGAGCAAAAGCCGGACGUGUCCGGCUGUGAGAGUUCCCGAAGAAAAAGCAGCGGCAAACUCCGUGCCAGCAGCCGCGGUAAUACGGAGGAUGCGAGCGUUAUCCGGAUUUAUUGGGGUUAAAGGGUGCGCAGGCGGAUUUUUAAGUCAGCGGUCAAAUCGUGGGGCUCAACCCCAUCCAGCCGUUGAAACUGGGGAUCUAGAGUGUGCGAGAGGUAUGCGGAAUGCGUGGUGUAGCGGUGAAAUGCAUAGAUAUCACGCAGAACCCCGAUUGCGAAGGCAGCAUACCGGUGCACAACUGACGCUCAGGCACGAAAGCGUGGGUAUCGAACAGGAUUAGAUACCCCUGUAGUC
rnacentral:rRNA from 1 species